rfam:Salmo salar isolate Sally breed double haploid chromosome ssa27, whole genome shotgun sequence.
GGGGAAUUAGCUCAAAUGGUAGAGUGCUUGCUUAGCAUGUGAGAGGUUGUGGGAUCGAUGCCCACAUUCUCCA